CGGCAUUGUCGACGACGUCGAGCACUGAGGGACCACCGGGAUUCUGUGCUUGGGCUGGGACCGAUGCGAGUCUCUCGGCAUCGGCAUCGCGUCCGCCCACGACGGCCGUCCAUGCGCCGUUGGCCAGGAUGUCGCGUACACGCCCCGGCGGCACCCCCAUCAGCUGAGCCACGGUGUCGGGCACGUCCGACGCCAACAAGUUUGUGAGACUCGCCCGUGACUGGCGUGCCAAUUCAGUCGGUAACUGCGGCAGCGUCGGUGCGCCUGUCGUUGCGACGAGGGCGAGCCCCACAGGCUGCGCUGCCGCUGCAGCGGUAGAUGGAGCGGGGAUGGGCGCGGGCGGUUGCUUGCGUCGCCCGAGAACUGAUCCGCCGGGCAGCCGCAACUGUGGCGGGCGCCCCGCCUCUGACGCCUCGGCGAUGGCACGUGCGUUGGCCGCCCGCGCUUGCGCCCGCGACUCGGCCUGUGCGCGCUGGGCCUCGGCACGCCGCCGGCCCUCUUGGCGCUCGGCGCCCGCCAGCGCCUCGGGCGCAAAUGUGACGCUCCGGGUGAGAUCUGCGGGCGACACCGGUGUGCCCUCGGGUCCCACGAGGUAAAAAAUGGACACGGGAGCGCGCGCGGCACCGGGUAUCGUCGGCGGUGCCAGGAGCAGCGCCUCCACGUCGUCGUCGCUGAGCGAGGGCAGCGCGGGGCGCGCCAGGCUCACGUCGUGCCACACGUCGCGCGCCGUGUCGUAGCGGAGCACGCGGUGGGGACCCGCCGCUCCCGGCAAGGGCUCGAUAUGGAGACCGGCCAUGCGUCCGGGACCCUCCUCCUCCUCUUUGCCACGGUUCUCGACAGCGGCGGACGCCUGCGGUACGAGACCGCCGGCAUCGCGCGCCACGCGGCGCAUAAACUGUGACCAGUGGGCACGCUCGCGCGCCGUCGGCGCCUGGCGGCUGGCCAUGAGCACGUCCAGCGACGGCCCGGCGCUCGCGGCGCCGCCGAGGGCUUCCUGGGCUCGAAUGGCGGCCUCGAUGGCGCGGGCUUCGGCCGCAUCGCCCACGGGCGACUCUUGGCGGCGCUGUCCGCCGGGGCCGGCGGCGUAAUAGGACCUGAGCGCGUCGUAUGAAUCCGCUGGGGCGCCGAUGUCGAGUGGCUCAACGGAGAUCUCGUAGGGCGCUGUGUGGACGACAGCCACCGGCACGCGCUCCACUUGAUACACAUCAGAGGCAUCGUCGCGGCGCACGUGCCCAAAGAGCCGCCGCACCACCAACGCCACGGGAUGCGCGACGCGCACGGGCGCCCACAUGUCUGGCGGCACGACAAUCAUCUGGCCGUCGGCCACCAUGGGCAUACCGUCGAGUGCUCUCUGCACGGGGGCGGGCACUGCCCCCGCUGCAGUAUCGGCCGCCACCGACGCCGCAUAGGCGUCGAGCGCGUCAGCGGCAUCUUGCGCGGCGGGGGCCACCACGAUGGCCGCCACGGGCGCAAAGACGCUCGGCGCCGCGAUCACAUCGCCCCGUCCAAUGUCUGGGUGGGCGUCGAUCUGCGCCGCGGCCGAGGCCAAGGGUCGCGGCAGCGCAAUGUCGGUCGGUGGCGCAUCGGAACGCCCCUCCCACAAGCGCCAAAGCACGUCGUAGGGGACGAGAGCGUCGGUGGUGGGCAUCGUCGCGUCUCCUGGAACGGCGUACCCGUAGACAACGUUCGUGAGUGCAGGGUCCACCGAGUGCAGCGCCAAGCCGACAAAGGGCUGCAGGGGCGUCUCGUCCAGGACGGCGUCGCGCGGCAGGCGCAUCUGCGCGCCCGACACGCUCGUAUAGACGCGCUCCCCUGUGGCCCCGGCGUCGUCGUUGUUGACGCCCCCGACUGCGGUGCGCACGCGAGUCACGAGUGCGUGGCGCGGCACGCGUGAGCCGGCUGGGUCCCUGUAGGUCACAAUCGAAAGGCGCUUGUCGGACGGGGCGCCGUCGGGAAGAAACGCGUCCGACCACUGGGCGAGCAGGUCCCGCGGCAGCACCGUGGCGUGUCCGGCAAUGCCCAUGGCGCGCGCGACGCCGCCGUCAGCCUCGGACGACGCGACGGCGUAGCGCAGGCGCUGCCCGGCCGGGUCGCGUGCCCACACGCCCUCAAUCGCCGCUGCGGGCAGGCCGGGCGGCACGUAAAGGCGCGGGCGCAAUGCGGCGCUCAGUAUGCCCUCGACGCCCGGCGGCGGCUCGACACCGUGCGCCGGGUCGAUCUGACGCCAGCGCGCCUUGAAACGAGAGGCGUUGAGAUCGACGGCGUCCGACACGGCAGCGGCGACGGCCGGGUUCUCGGCGAUCGCAGCGCCCGCGGGGAGCGCAUCCAGCACCGCGUAUUCGAUGGCGUCGCGCAGGGUGCGUGAGCCGCCCAAUUUGUCCAAGUGAUCGAGUUGACGCGCGUCGACGCAGAGCGCCGUGCUGUCGUCGGCACCGACAAUGCGAAACACAAACGCGGGCGGCACGCUUGCGCCCAGCGGUUGCGGGCACGCGCCGGCCAUGCCGUCGCCGGCGUUGGUGCCGGCGCCAGCGGCGGCGUUGGCACGCGAUGUCAACAUCAUCGACCAGUCUGGUCCGAAAGCGUGCUCGCUCCUUGUCGGUCACAGCCGGCUCUCUCUCUCUCUCUGUCUCUUUUUCCUGAGGCUAUGCGCAAAGAAAAAGGCGUGCGCAAGCGAUGUCCCUCUUCCUUUUCUGGUGCCUCGACAAGGCCUUUGCCGAGAGAGAAAAGGACCUGAAAACCGCAAACGAAAAAAAACCGGGCAACAACGAUCAGGCGGCGGCGGUUGUCGACGUCGCCGGAAGAUGUCGUCGAGAGGUGGUGAUGAGGUCACGCGCGUGCGGGACAAUAAAUUGUGGACGCGAG
rnacentral:lncRNA from 1 species